UACAGAGGUCCCAAGCGUUGUUCGGAUUCACUGGGCGUAAAGGGUGCGCAGGUGGUCGGGUAAGUCUGACGUGAAAUCCCGCAGCUUAACUGCGGAAUGGCAUUGGAUACUAUUCGGCUAGAGGGUUGGAGGGGGGACUGGAAUUCUCGGUGUAGCAGUGAAAUGCGUAGAUAUCGAGAGGAACACCAGUGGCGAAGGCGAGUCCCUGGACAACUCCUGACGCUGAGAAGCGAAAGCAUGGGGAGCGAACAGG
rnacentral:rRNA from 1 species